rnacentral:rRNA from 1 species
GUCUACAGCCACGCCACCCUGAACAAGCCCAAUCCUGUCUGACCUCGGAAGCUUAAGCAGGGUCAGGCCUGGUUAGGACUUGGAUGAGAGACUACCUAAGAAAACCAGGUGCUGUAGGCA